rnacentral:lncRNA from 1 species
AGACCACCCAGCGAAUCUCCAUGGACGCCUAUGAAGGACAGGAAGUGAACAUAUCCUGUAACCACACCAACAUUGCCACAAAUGAGUACAUCUUCUGGUACCGACAGGUCCCCCACCAGGGACCACACUUUGUCAUUCAAGGAUAUAAGACGAAUGUGGCAAAUGAAGUGGCAUCUCUGUUUAUCCCGGUUGACAGAAAGUCCAGCACCCUGAGCCUGCACCGCGUUACCCUGAAAGACAGUGCUGUGUACUACUGCACUGUGGGUGGCACAGUGAGACAGCUGGGU